rnacentral:lncRNA from 1 species
UGUUUAUUCAAAUCAAGUCUUUCAUAUAAAGAGAAAGGCAUGACACUAACACCAGCUCGCAAAUCACAUAAAGCAGUUUUCACAUAAUUUCUUUUGAUGGAGCAAGGUAUAGUUGGUAUUCCUGGAUCUCCAAGUUUUUUAGGUACUCCAUCUUUAAAAGUAUAAUUAGCAAGCAUGGUGGAGAUUUCAGCUUCUGGUAUUUUUCUCUUAUUGGUGAUGAUGUCUUUCAUGUACUUUGCAUAAGGAGGCAUUAUUAAGAUAUCAGUCAAGCGGGUACGCAAAAGACUGGCCUCAGCAUUUCAGCAAAGCGUUCAAAUUCUCCAUCAUCUUUCUUUUUAGUUGGCUUAGCUGAAAAGGGCAUAGGUUUUUGAACCCAUGGCUCCCUUUCCUUUCCAUGUUUUCUAGCAACAAAGUCUUUUUUAUCAUAUCUUUUAUUCUUGGGUUGUGGGUUAUCAAGAUCAACAGCUGGUUCUAUCUCAACAUCAUUGUCUGGUUCUUUAUUAUUUGGUUGAGUGUCUUCAUGAACCUCAUCAUUAUCUUUUUCAUUAUCAGAAGGUGAGUGUUCACUACCAUAUUGAUUUUCAACAUCCAAGAUAGAAACUUCAUUAUCAUUAUCAGGAGGUUUUUCCACUUCAGGUUCACUAGAGGCUGGCAAAGUCCUAUUAUUUUCUUCUUCUUUUUCUUUUUAGAAGGACUAGGUGCAUCAGUGUUAAUUCUUUGAGAGUCUUGUUGAAUUUUCUUUGGGUGUCCCUCAGGAUAAAGUGGUUCCUGAGUCAUUUUACCUCCUCUAGUUGCUACUCUAAGAGCAAAGUCACUUAUAUUAUUGUUCAUUUCAUCAAGCAACUCUCUUUGAGGUUUAGCAACUUGUUCUGAUUGAGUUUGAACCAUAGAGGCAUGCUUUCCUACACCUCUAACAUCAUUUGAGAUUAUAAAUAACAAGUCACUUAAGCGAGCAAUCAUAUCAGAGUUGUAUUUCAAUUGUUUCAUAACAUUUGCAUUGAAGUGAUCUUGCUUUCUAAUGUAAUUAUCAAACACAUAAACGCAUUGGCUAGGAUGUUUAUUAUGAGGAUCAUCACUAUCAUUGAAUUUCAUUAAAGAAUUUACCUCUACCACAUUAGGUAGCGGUGGUGUAUCAAGCCCAUGUAUUUCUUCAAUAGGUGGUAGAUUUUUAACAUCCUCUACUUUAAUACCUUUUUCCUUCAUAGAUUUCUUUGCCUCUUGCAUAUCUUCGGGACUGAGAUAUAAAAUACCCCUCUUCUUUGGAGUGGGUUUAGGAGGUGUUUCAGGACGAGUCCGAUCAUCAUAAUUUUUCAAUAUGUUAUUCAAAAAUUCUUUAGCUUGCUCAAUAGUUCGUUCCCUGAAAACACAACCAGCACAACUAUCUAGGAAAUCCCUAGAAGCAUCGGUUAGUCCAUUAUAGAAGAUAUCAAGUAUUUCAUUUUUCUUAAGAGGGUGAUCAGGAAAAGCAUUAAGCAAUUGGAGAAGCCUCCCCCAAGCUUGUGGGAGACUCUCUUCUUCAAUUUGCACAAAGUUAAAUAUUUCCUGCAAGGCAGCUUGUUUCUUAUGAGUAGGGAAAUAUUUUUCAGAGAAGUAAUAAAUCAUAUCCUGGGGACUACACACAUAACCAGGAGCAAGAGUAUUGUACCAAGCUUUAUCAUCACCCUUUUGAGAACGGAAAUAAUCCAAGGAUAUAGUAAUAGCGAAUCUUUCUCGUCAUGAGCCAAAAGGGUGGCUAUGUCAUUCAACUUAGUAAGAUGUGCCACAACAGUUUCAAUUUCAUAACCAUGGAAUGGAUUAGAUUCAACCAAAGUAAUUAACUCUGGGUCGACAGAGAAUUCAUAAUCCUUAUCAUCAAUAAAGAUAGGUGAAGUAGCAAACUUAGGAUCACAUUUCAUUCUAGCAUUCAAAGAUCUUUCUUUAUACUUGCAUAAUAAUUUUUCUAAAUCAUCUCUAUCCUUACAAGCAAGAAUAUCUCUAGUUGCCUCCUCACUCAUAGCAUAACCUUCCGGUACAUUUGGCAAUUCAUAUCUAGGAGGGUUAGUUCUAAUAGGUGUUUCAAGAAUUUCAGUUUCAAGCUCAUCAUUAGUUUCAAUAAUAUCAUGUUGUCUUACUGUAGCAAUUUGUUCAUUAAGAAAUUCACCUAGUGGCACAUUAUCAUCAAGCAAGGUUCUAGCAUCAUUGAUGUCUACUACCCAACCUUCUUCUUGUGGACUCGUGUUAGGCCUCCAAGCGCAGAGUUUUGUAGGACAUUAGCAAAUUUCCCUCAAGUGGAUGACCUAAGGUUUAUCAAUCUGUGGGAGGCGUAGGAUGAAGAUGGUCUCUCUCAAACAACCCUGCAACAAAAUAACAAAGAGUCUCUUGUGUCCCCAACACACCCAAUACAAUGGUAAAUUGUAUGGGUGCACUAGUUUGGCGAAGAGAUGGUGAUACAAGCGUAAUAUGGAUGGUAGAUACUGCUUUUCGUAAUCUGAAAAUAUAAAAACGGCAAGGUAAUACCUCCGUCCGAAAAUACUUCUCAUCGAAAUGGAAAAAAAGAGAUGUCUCUAGAUCUAAAAUACAUCUAGAUACAUCUCCUUUUAUUCAUUUUGAUGGCAAGUAUUUCCGGACGGAGGGAGUAGCAAUUAACAAAAGUGAGCAAAAACAGUAUUGCAAUGCUUCAAAACAAGAUCCAGGGUUCAUACUUUCGCUAGUGCAAGUUCUCUCAACAAUGAUAACAUAAUUGGAUCAUAUAACAAUCCCUCAACAUGCAACAAAGAGUCACUCCAAAGUCACUAAUAAUGGAGAACAAACGAAGAGAUUAUUGUAGGGUACGAAACCACCUCAAAGUUAUUCUUUCUGAUCGAUCUAUUGGGCUAUUUCUAUAAGUGUCACAAACAGCCCUAGAGUUCGUACUAAAAUAACACCUUAAGACAUACAUCAAACAAAACCCUAAUGUCACCUAGAUACUCCAAUGUCAUCACAAGUAUCUGCGGGUUUGAUUAUAUGAUAUGCAUCACACAAUCUCAGAUUCAUCUAUUCAAACCAACACAAAGAACUUCAAAGAGUGCCCCAAAGUUUCUACCGGAGAGUCAAGACGAAAACGUGUGCCAACCCCUAUGCAUAAGUUCACAAGGUCACAGAACCCGCAAGUUGAUCACCAAAACAUACAUCAAGUGGAUCACGUGAAUAUCCCAUUGUCACCACAGAUAAGCACAUGCAAGACAUACAUCAAGUGUUCUCAAAUCCUUAAAGACUCAAUCCGAUAAGAUAACUUCAAAGCAAAAAACUCAAUCCAUUACAAGAAGGUAGAGGGGUAGAAACAUCAUAAGAUCCAACUAUAAUAGCAAAGCUCGCGGUACAUCAAGAUCGUGCCAAAUCAUGAACACGAGAGAGAGAGAGAGAGAGAGAGAGAGAGAGAUUAAACACAUAGCUACUGGUACAUACCCUCAGCCCCGAGGGUGAACUACUCCCUCCUCGUCAUGGAGAGCGCUGGGAAGAUGAAGAUGGCCAUCAGUGAUGGAUCCCCCUCCGGCAGGGUGCUGGAACAGGGUCCCAAUUGGUUGUUGGUGGCUAUAGAGGCUUGCGGCGGCGGAACUCCUGAUCUAGGUUCUGUUCUGGAAGUUUGGGGAUAUAUAAGAGGUGUUGGCGUCGGGAACAAGUUAGGGGGGGCCACGAGGCAGCCACAAGGUAGGGGGCGAGCCCUAGGGGGCGCUUCCCUCCACCCUUGUGGUGGCCUCAGGACUCUUCUGGUUCGUUUCCGAUGCUCCAUGGGCUUCUUCUGGUCCAUAAAUAAUCACCGUAAAUUUUCAGCUUGUUUGGACUCCAUUUGAUAUUCCUUUUCUGCGAAACUCAAAAACAAGUAACAAAAUAGAAACUGGCACUGGGCUCUAGGUUAAUAGGUUAGUCCCAAAAAUCAUAUAAAAUAGCAUAUAAAUGCAUAUAAAACAUCCAAGAUGGAUAAUAUAAUAGCAUGGAACAAUCAAACAUUAUAGAUACGUUGGAGACGUAUCAAGCAUCCCAAAGCUUAAUUCCUGCUUGUCCUCGAGUAGGUAAAUGAAAAAAAUAGAAUUUUUGAUGUGGAAUGCUACCUAACAUAUUUAUCCAUAAGAUUCAAAACAAAAGUUUAAUAUUGACAUGAAAACGAUAGUACUUCAAGCAUACUAAUAAAGCAAUCGUGUCUUCUCAAAAUAACGUGGCCAAAGAAAGUUAUCCCUACAAAAUCAUAUAGUCUAGCUAUGCUCCAUCUUCAUCACACAGAAUAUUCAAAUCAUGCACAACCCCGAUGGCAAGCCAAGCAAUUGUUUCAUACUUUUGAUGUUCUCAAACAUUUUCAACUUUCACGCAAUACAUGAGCAUGAGCCAUGGACAUAACACUAUAGGUGGAAUAGAAUAUGGUGGUUGUGGAGAAGACAAAAAGAAGGAGAUAGUCUCACAUCAACUAGGCGUAUAAAUGGGCUAUGGAGAUGCCCAUUGUCGGUGUCAAAACCGGUGGAUCUCGGGUAGGGGGUCCCGAACUGUGCGUCUAGGCAGAUGGUAACAGGAGACAAGGGACACGAUGUUUUUAUCCAGGUUCAGGCCCUCUCGAUGGAGGUAAAACCCUACUCCUGCUUGAUUAAUACUGAUGAUAUGGGUAGUACAAGAGUAGAUCUACCACGAGAACAGAGAGGCUAAACCCUAGAAGCUAGCCUAUGGUAUGAUUGUUGUUCAUCCUACAGACUAAAACCCUCCGGUUUACAUAGGCACCGAAGAGGGUUAGGGUUACACAGAGUCGGUUACAAUGGUAGGAGAUCUACAUAUCCGUAUCGCCAAGCUUGCCUUCCACGCCAAGGAAAGUCCCAUCCGGACACGGGACGAAGUCUUCAAUCUUGUAUCUUCAUAGUCCAGGAGUCCGACCAAAGGCUAUAGUCCGGCCAUCCGGACACCCCCUAAUCUAGGACUCCCUCAGUAGCCCCUGAACCAGGCUUCAAUGACGACGAGUCCGGCGUGCAUAUUGUCUUCGGCAUUGCAAGGCGGGUUCCUCCUCCAAAUACUUCAUAGAAGAUUUUGAACACAAGGAUAGUGUCCGGCUCUGCAAAAUAAGUUCCACAUACCACCGUAGAGAGAAUAAUAUUUACACAAAAUCAAUCUGCUGACGUAUUCCGUGGCGUGACAUCACACCACGGCCAAGCCUUUAUUUGAAUUGUUUUUACUGUCCCACCUCAACACGUUUAGCGAGGCGGUUUCCUUGGCACGUCUUGUCAAAGAAGAGAUCGUGUCCCCUUAUUCCGGGAUUCUCAUUAAUACGGGCGUGGGUAACCCAACCGCGCCAUUUAUUACGGUGCUUGGGAGAUAAGCGAGUUUUACCAGGCUGGUGGGGAUGCAUAGCUUCGUCCGUCCAUAUAAGGGGAUAAGGAUCCACUUUUUCACACACGCCUUCUUCCUCCUUUGCUCAUCCAUUUCCGCGCACUCGAGCUCCAACGCCCAAGUCCACACAUCUCGCAUCAACCUUCCCCAGCCAUGUCCGGAGCGGGAGGCAAGUGGAUGGUCUCCUCCGUCACGGAGGGGCACAUCAAAAAGCUGCGGAAGGCCGGAUACUUGUCCGGCGACAUUGCGCAUCGGCUCCCCGACAAGGGGCAGCUUAUCCCCACCCCCAGGCCCCAUGAGAGGGUGGUGUUCCUCACCCACUUCCUCCGCGGACUAGGUUUUCCACUUCACCCAUUUGUCCGGGGGCUCAUGUUCUACUACGGCCUGGAUUUCCACGGUCUGGCCCCGAAUUUCAUCCUCAACAUCUUGGCGUUCAUCGUCGUGUGCGAGGCCUUCCUCUGCAUCCAGCCCCACUUCGGCUUAUGGCUGAAGACCUUCAAUGUCAAGCCGAAGGUAGUGGGCGGCCGCCAAGCGGAGUGCGGAGGUGCCAUGGUGAGCAAGAUGACCAACGUCCUAUGGCUCGAGGGCUCCUUCGUGGAGACCAUAAAGGGAUGGCAAUCGGGGUGGUUCUACAUCACCGAGCCGCGUGACCCUAAAUGGGUGGCGGCCCUCGAAUUCCGAUUUGGCUUCCCUACACGGCUCACCUCCUGGAAGGAGACGGGCCUGACAUGGGGUAAUUCGGAAGAGCUAACCGGACUGCAGACCUGUGUCCAGAACCUGGUGAACAAGAAGCUCAAGCUUGUCAACAUAGUCCAGGUCAUGCUCAUCCGCCGGAUGCUCCCAUGCCAACAACGGGCCUUCAACUUGUGGGAGUUUGAUCCGGCGCAGCACCAAACCCUGAGCAGGCUCUUCGACACUACGUACGGAGAUGCCUGGAAGGUGCUGUUCAAGGGCGCCGAGGCUCCCGCAUCCGCUACCGAAGAUCGCGGAUUCAGCUCGCAGCGUCAAGCCGGCGAGGUAAGCUAUUCAACCCUUUACGGGACUCUUGUUUCCCAUAGUUUGACUCUAUGCAGGAUCUAAACUCCUUUACCUUUGACAGGAUUGGCAGGAGACGUCUGGGCAAGUUAACUGUCCGGCUCCCUUGCCAGAAGACCCAGCGGACGCCCGAUUGGCGGGGCUGCUGGUUUCGGCACCUCACGUGGUGCCGGAGAAGAAGGCCAAGAAGAAGGCAACGGGAACUCGAAGGAGUUCCCGGCGCCAGGUGUUGUCGGACUCAUCGUCCGAUGACUCCGAGGCAGACUCCUCCCGCGAAGACGAGGAGGAGGAAAAAGAGGCCUCUCCCCCAGCGGGGGGAGAGAAGAAAAGGAAGGUCGCCCCAACUGGGGAGUCCGGAGGGUCCAAGAAGGGAAGGACCCUCCCUCCGGACUACUCCACCAAUGCCGACGAUGGCGAAGAGGAGUGGCCACCGAGGGCUAAGCCCUUGGCGAAAUCAUAAGUGUCCGGAUACCAGAAUAACUCAUGGCGUUUCAUUUGUCGCACAGUAUCUCCUAAUGCCGAAUAUAACCCUGCAGCCCGCAUAAGGACGAGCUCGACGCUUCAACGAGUGGCUCCCUGGAUUCGUCGGACGUGAAUAGCAUCUCACUUCCGGCUGCCUCCUCUCCUCAUGCUGCGGAUGACGCCGAGGUGGGGUCCCAAAACAGGCCCAGCCAGGACGAGGUGGUCCAGGAGGCACCACAAGGCAACCUCCCGGACUCCAGGCGCAAGGGGGAUAAAACCCCAAAGGGUUGUAAGUCCGGCCCUGGGCCGGACUCUGUAUUGGAACCUUCAGUGGUUCCGGAGUCCGGCAGGCGGACCCUUUGUAAGAAGGGCAAGACUGCGACACCGGUGACCUCCGUCCAACCGGAGGCACCGGAUAAUUUGCUGGAGGCGCUUAACGGCGCCUCCAUCAACGAGGAGCACCGCACUGUUAUGAGUGUGGUGAUCCAGAAAGUUCAGUCCGCCAAGAGUGGGCUGACUGAAGCCUGUGCCAGCCUUCUAACAGGCUUUGAGGUAUGUAUUUAAUAUAUGUAAAAAUAUUACCGCAUAGACAGUAGCCCCUGAUGCUCAGUUUGCUGUUCGGAAAGAAAAGCCGAACUGAGGAUCUAAAAAGAUGUACGUAGGAGUCUAACAUAAGUAUGUCAAUAUGGGAAUGCAGGCUGCGCUGUUGACCUCUGCCGCACUGACUGCGGAGGUCAAUGCAUUGAAGCAGAGCCUCGAGUGGUCCGAGAACGAGCUCGGCCUUGCCAAAAAGCAGCUCGAGGACAAGGAAGGUAAGUAAUACCUUAUGGAAGUAUAUAAAAGAUGUGGUUGCAAAAAAUGAUAGGAAUAACGUGAGUAUUGCAGGGGCCACGAACGAGGUGGCGACCCUGAAGGAAGCGGUGUCCAAGGCCAAAAGCGAUGCAGCCGCGGAGCACACCGAGCGAGAGAAGCAGGAGGCGCGGGUGGCGGAGGUGCGGCAAGAGCUCCAGGCUCUCAUGGAAAAACACGAGAGUUUGGAGCGUGACUCAAAGACUCGAGAGUCCGAGCUCGCCUCGGCCCUUGAGAGUGCCAAAGCCGCUAAGGCCGAAGCCCAAAAAGCCCUCCAGGAAAUUGAGGGAAUGAAGAGGAUAGCAGCGGGUAAGGCAUUCUUUAUGCAAAGCAAGCACGUGAAAGUGAAUUACUUGUUACUUACCCGAAUCCGGAGCUCUCCAGGAGCAUUCGCAGAUCUGCCCCGCAGUGUGUCCGACGUUGCCGCAUUCUACCGGGCCGAGGAGGGGAGCUCAACAGAGAAGGUGUCUUGGUCUCAGUAUGCUGAGGCCGGACACCCGGUGCCCUUGAGUGACCAGCUGAAGCAGCUGGUCGAGCUCAAUAAGGUGGCCGAACAGGCCAUGAAGGGCCUCAUAGUUCGGUUGUGGCCUAAGGAAGCCAUGCCUGGGAGCUACUUUGGGUUGGUGAGGCGGCUGGUGGACGCCUGUCCAUGGAUUGAAGUCGUCAAGCGCUCUGUCUGCAUCGAAGGUGCCCGUAGGGCCCUUGCCCGUGCUAAAGUGCAUUGGGGCAAGAUGGACACUGAGAAGCUUGUGACGGACGGACCACCGCUGGGCAGGGAGUAUCACAAGCCCGAGAUUUAUUAUGAGGGCAUCCUGAAGGGUGCCCGCCUUAUAGCGGGUGAAUGCUCCAAAGAUGAAAUUUUUGAGUAAACUCGCAUUUGUUAUCCUGUACGCUGAAAACUUGUUCAUAUGCGCUAAGCAAAGCUUGUGAAUUUAAAAUAUUACCUUAUGUGCGGCCGUUUAUUAAAUUUGAGAGAUGGCGAGUCAUCGGCUUCUGCCCCCAUGCCACGAGUGCUGGGGUGUUCGGGAUAAACUUGAGCGCUCUUUUUCCCAUUCUUGGGUCCUUCGAGGGAGGCGCUCAACGCAACGAACGAGGCAACCGGACUAUAAUGCUUGAACACUCUCACUUAGCCAUAGAAUUCUAUAAUUUUAAAUUUCAGCGAAGCCCCUAGUAUUCGGAAGACCGAGUUCGGGGCGCUAUCCAUGCCAGGGCCGGACAAAGCCGACUCCUCGCUCUAAACGGCAUAAGUCUUUAGGGACUCGAAAACCUCUCGAACAGCGACCGGCUCUCGCCCUAUCAUGACGGUCAGUUUUAGCUUUCUCCACUGAGGUGCUUAACCUAGCUCAACCGGGGCACAAUCGCAGUGGUUCUCCCAGCGCUACCUUAGCCGAUAUAACGAAACAUAAGGUACAAAAACAUGGGAGCCGGGCAAACCCAACUAUUGACCCAAGACAUGAUUCGAGUCGAUGCAUAUAAUGCUAUAAGUUCGGGGUGCCGCACUUGUGAAAGUGUUCGGACUUAUCACACCAUAUUUUGGGGUACUUAAGCCCCUGGUGUAUUUGGCCGUACCAAAGUGUACGGGUGCAACAUGUCAUAAGUGAACAUAUAUAGAUAAUAAAAAAGGGAAUGGGAUAAUAGGCAGAAGCUAUGUAUUGUUUAUUCAAAAAGGCUGCGGUAAAAGCAGAAUGAUACAAAUAGUGCGAUAAGCAAUGGACGGGACUAUUUGACAUGCCCCCCUCCAGGGGCGAGCUGCGGGAUGAUAUGUGAAACAAGUAUACUGCUCAUUAUAGAGACCACCUGGACACUCGACGUAGCUUUCUGCUUCCCUGGCUGUUGCAUCGUGUGUUCGGCGAUUCUACUGCCGGACAGGGCUUCUUGAGAAAGGAGUCCUGCAAGUAAGAUAAAAAAGAAUGACACAAUCGGGAGCCCCUGGUGCAGUUGAGCCGCAUUCUGGGCCUGCCGUGGUCGUGCCCCUUCCCCUAUGCCCAUGGUAUUUCCAGAGCGUAAUUAUGUACGCGUAGUACUGGUUUCGCAAUUUCGCGAGGGCUGGGGUUGGGGCCGCAUUGCUACGCGUGCUCGGGACGUGCCAGGCGGUCUUGUUGUAGGUUACUCCGGGCGCGCUAGACGGUGUCCGGACGUUUAAUAGCCGGACUCGAGAAUUGCCUUGAGAGGCUGCUUUGUACUUCCGCUGCGAGGGCCGCCGUAUGCUCCUCCGUUCGGAGAGAGUGUUUGGUGUUUCCGUUGACCGUAAUGACUCCUCAAGGGCCUGGCAUCUUGAGCUUGAGGUAUGCGUAGUGCGGCACCGCAUUGAACUUUGCAAAUGCGGUUCGUCCGAGCCGUGCGUGAUAGCCGCUGCGGAACGGGACUAUGUCGAAGAUUAACUCCUCGCUUCGAAAGUUAUCCGGGGAUCCGAAGACCACGUCAAGUGUAACUGAGCCUGUACAGUUGGCCUCUACACCUGGUAUGACGCCUUUAAAGGUCGUCUUUGUGGGUUUAAUCCUUGAGGGGUCUAUGCCCAUUUUGCGCACUGUAUCCUGAUAAAGCAGGUUCAGGCUGCUGCCACCGUCUAUCAGGACUCUAGUGAGGUGAAAUCCGUCAACGAUUGGGUCUAGAACCAAUGCGGCGAAUCCGCCAUGGCGGAUGCUAGUGGGGUGGUCCCUUUGAUCAAAAGUGAUCGGGCAGGAGGACCACGGAUUGAACUUUGGGGUGACUGGCUCCAUCGCAUAUACGUCCCUUAGUGCACGCUUCCGCUCCCUUUUGGGUAUGUGGGUUGCGUAUUGUAACGCCCCGGAUUCGUUGCGCCAGGUGUCCGCCAGUUAUUCGUCGUCGUUGCCAUGUCAUUUGCUUGCGUGUUGCAUUUUGCCAUGUCAUCAUGUGCAUCUCAUUUUGCAUACGCGUUCAUCUCUUGCAUCCGAGCAUUUUCCCCGUUGUCCGUUUUGCAAUCCGGCACUCCUAUGUCAUAUGGCGUUCCCCUUUUUGUCUCCUAUUGUGAGCGGGUGUUAAACUUUCUCGGAAUGUACCGUGAUUUGACAAGCAGCCUUGGUACACCACCGGUAGACCGCCUAUCAAGUUUCGUGCCAUUUGGAGGUCGUUUGAUACUCCAACGGUUAACCGGGUAACCGUAAAAGCCUCUUUUGUCUUGCAGCCCAACACCCCUCCAAAGUGGCCCAAAACCCAGCAAACUCCCCUCUAUGCUCUCGGUCGUUCGAUCACGAUCGUGUGGGCGAAAACCGUGCCUCAUUUGGACUCUCCUAGCUCCCUCUACCUAUAUAUAUGCCUUCCCCUUCCAAAUUCGCGGUGCAACCCUAGCCUCCAUCCUCCUUGCGCCGCCGGACACGUCCAUCCGCGCCGGACAUGUCCGCCGGCCGCCUCGCUCCGCCCAAUCAGAGCAUGCCACGUCACCCACGCCGCCGCCCCAGCCUCUCAGCGCCCACCACCUCACCCUCUCUCUCCUCCCACCACCGCGCAGCCNNNNNNNNNNNNNNNNNNNNNNNNNNNNNNNNNNNNNNNNNNNNNNNNNNNNNNNNNNNNNNNNNNNNNNNNNNNNNNNNNNNNNNNNNNNNNNNNNNNNNNNNNNNNNNNNNNNNNNNNNNNNNNNNNNNNNNNNNNNNNNNNNNNNNNNNNNNNNNNNNNNNNNNNNNNNNNNNNNNNNNNNNNNNNNNNNNNNNNNNNNNNNNNNNNNNNNNNNNNNNNNNNNNNNNNNNNNNNNNNNNNNNNNNNNNNNNNNNNNNNNNNNNNNNNNNNNNNNNNNNNNNNNNNNNNNNNNNNNNNNNNNNNNNNNNNNNNNNNNNNNNNNNNNNNNNNNNNNNNNNNNNNNNNNNNNUCACCUCUGCGUCGCUGCCGCCGACGUGGCCCCGCCGCCAUGGCCAUGGCGCCGCCGCUUGCCUCGGUUCCUCCUCGCCGCCCGCCUUCCCGUCUCCCUCGCCGGAGGCCGUCCUCCGCCCCAAGCCGCUGAGCCCCGCCGUCCUGCGCCGGCUCUCCGCUUCGGCCCCGCGUCCUGUCCCCGCCACCUCGCCGGCCUCGUCGCCGGAGCUCGCCCGCGCCUCCCCGCGCCUCGCCGGAGUCGUCUCCGGCCGGAUCCGGCGAGAUCCGGCCCGGAACCGUCGGGUGGAUGAGAUCCACCACCACAGCCAUCCAAACGCCCUCGCCCCGCCCGGAUCUCCUCGUCCCGGGUCCUCCUCGUCCCGUUUUCAGAGGGUAAAAUUCCACCAAGUCUCCGUAAUUUUGCAUAUUCUGGUGCCCCCUUUGACCUGCCAUAACUUGCUGCAUACUGCUUCGUUUCGUGCGUGUAAUAUGUCAAAUUGUUUGUCUCAAUGGGUACUUCAUUUCAUUCCAUUGCACUAUAUCUAUUUGAGCUCAUCUUGAUGCCCGAAUCAUCGUUGCAAGAGUGCUAUAUGAGGCUAAUCUGCUGAAACUGUUAUAACAUGCUCAUUUGUCAUUUUUGCCAUGUUUGAUGUGUGCAUCCUAUGAGGUUGAUGUCUACAUGUGUUUUGAUCUACAUCAUGCCAUCUUUACAGAGGUGCCAUCCAUGUAUUUUUGUGAGUCUUGUACUGAGUGCAUCAAGCUUGUUAAGUAGGGUACUUGCUAUUGUUGUUUUGCUAGGCUGAUUCUGUUAUAUUUUGUUGCUAUGUAAACCUGCUGCUACUAGUCAUUCUAUGCAUAAUCUGGAGAUAUUCACUAAGGAUGAUUUGUUAUAAAUGUUAUGCUCUAUCCAUUAAUGCCCCUGGGUGCAUUUAUAGCCUGCUGUAGCUUGUUGUAAUCUUGCUCCAAACUUGCUAAAUAAUGUUGCUGUCAGCCUGUUAACAUUAAGUUCAAUGUUUCCAUGAUUGUUGUUAGUGAUCCAAGCAUGCUAUGAUCUUUAUCUUGACAUGCUUAGCUUCAUAAACAUGUGUUCUUACUGUUGGUAACCUUGUCAUGCCAUGUGUUGCUCUGUGGUGAGUGGUUCAAGCUCACCAACAUGCCUACUUAUUGUUGUUCCUGCCAUGUAUGAAUCUGUCAUAUAACUUGCCAUGUUUACAUGGGUGCCAUCAUAUUUUCUGUGCCCUUUUGGCUCAUGGUCAGUAAGGGACUUUUGUUUUAUGCAAUUAGUAGGUUCAUGCCAUGCCUUUGUUUGCCAUGAUAAGUUCUUGUAACAUGUUGUUUGAUAGCUCUAAACAUUGCAACCUGAUGUUAUUUCUGCUAAGCCUGAAACUGUUAUUAUUUGCAAUCUUGCCAUGUCCUUUUGAGCAUGUUCUAGUAGUUUCUGGAGAUAGCUCAGUGUUCAUGUUUUGUCAUGCUUUACCUGUAGUUCAUGCCCAUUCUGUUAUCUUGUUAGGAUGCUGUAGCAUAUUGUUUUGAUGCUUGCUAGAUGCUUAGUUGUUGUUUUGGACAGCUUGUCCUUUAAACUUGUAUAGAGUGUAUGUGUUGAACCGUUGCUCCGUUUUGAGUGUGCUCUAUAUGAAACUUGCUUGAUUUUGUAUGUAGUUUCAUAUUAUCAUGUUGCAUCCUUGUUUUGAGGUGUUUGCUUGAUGUUUGUAUGCAUUUUGCAUCAAUGCCAUGCUUAACUUGUUUUGCUCAUAUCUUCUAGGCCGUAGCUCCGAAUCUAAUGAACUUUAUAUGUAACUUGACUAGAAUCUCGUGUAGAUCAUCUUGGUGCAUCUUAACUUGCUGUUUAACAACUUGAAUAUAAGGUUUAUUCAGAUCUGGACCAAUUUUGAAAUUUGCAUAUGAGGACUGACCGGAAUUGUUGUAUGUUGUUCCCGGCCUCAUUUAAACUUGCUUUGAUGUGUUGCUCUUGUUUGCAUCAUAUCUUGCCAUGAGUAGCUUCAUGUAGCUUUGUCAUGCAUCAUGCUUGUUGUGCAUCAUGUCUUGUUCAUGUGUGGUGUGUUUACCAUGUUGUGUGCUUCUUCUCGAUAGUUCUCGUUUUCGUUGCGAUCGUGAGUAUUUGUUCGUCUACGCUUGGUUCGUCUUCGUGGCUUCAUCUUCUUCAUGGACUCGUUCUUCUUCCUUGCGGGAUUUCAGGCAAGAUGACCGUCACCUUGGAUGUCAUUACUAUCAUUGCUAUGCUAGUUGCUUCGUUCUAUCGCUAUGUUGUGCUACCUAUCGCUUGCUCUUCAAGCCUCCCAAAUUGCCAUGUCAGCCUCUAACCUUUUCACCCUUCCUAGCAAACCAUUGCUUGGCUAUGUUACCGCUUUGCUCAGCCCCUCUUAUAGCGUUGUUAGUUGCAGGUGAAGUUGAAGAUUGCUCCAUGGUGGACAGGAUUAUGUUGGGAUAUCACAAUAUCUCUUAUUUAAUUAAUGCAUCUAUAUUUUUGGUAAAGGGUGGAAGGCUCGGCCUUAUGCCUGGUGUUUUGUUCCACUCUUGCCGCCCUAGUUUCCGUCAUACCGGUGUUAUGUUCCCGGAUUUUGCGUCCCUAACGCGGUUGGGUGAUUUAUGGGACCCCCUCGACAGUUCGCUUUGAAUAAAACUCCUCCAGCAAGGCCCAACCUUGGUUUUACCAUUUGCCUCACCACCACCUACAUUUCCCUUGGGAGUAAUUAACCUAAGGGUCAUCUUUAUUUUAGCCCCCCCCCCCGGGCCAAUGCUUGUCUAAGUGUUGGUCUGAACCGAGUAGACUGCAGGGCCCCCUCGGGGAAACUCGAGGUCUGGUUUUACUCGUAGGAUGUCUCAUCCGGUGUUGCCCUGAGAACGAGAUAUGUGCAGCUCCUAUCGGGAUUGUCGGCGCAUCGAGCGGCUUUGCUGGUCUUGUUUUACCAUUGUCGAAAUGUCUUGUAAACCGGGAUUCCAAGACUGAUCGGGUCUUCCUGGGAGAAGGAAUAUUCUUCGUUGAUCGCGAGAGCUUAUCAUGGGCUAAGUUGGGACACCCCUGCAGGGUAUAAACUUUUGAGAGCCGUGCCCGCGGUUAUGUGGCAGAUGGGAAUUUAUUAAUGUCCGGUUGUAGAUAACUUGACACCAGAUACGAAUUAAAACGCAUCAACCGUGUGUGUAGCCGUGAUGGUCUCUUUUCGGCGGAGUCCGGGAAGUGAACACGGUUUUGGGUUAUGUUUGACGUAAGGAGGAGUUCAGGAUCACCUCUUGAUCAUUGCUAGCUUCACGACCGUUCCUUUGUUUCUCUUCUCGCUCCUAUUUGCGUAUGUUAGCCACCAUAUAUGCUUAGUCGCUGCUGCAACCUCACCACUUUACCCCUUCCUUUCCCAUUAAGCUUUCCUAGUCUUGAUACCCAUGGUAAUGGGAUUGCUGAGUCCUCGUGGCUCACAGAUUACUAAAACAACAGUUGCAGGUACAGGUUAUGCGAUGAUCAUGAUGCGAGAGCGAUGUUUGCUUGUUUUGGAGUUCUUCUUCUGCUUCUUCUUCGAUCAGGGGAUAGGUUCCAGGUCGGCAGCCUGGGCUAGCAGGGUGGAUGUCGUUUAAGCUUAUGUUUGUGUUUCAUCCGUAGUCGGAUGGUGCUCUUAUGUAUGAUUAUGUUGUAUUCGUGUGGCAUUGUAUGCCUCUUGUAUGUAUCCCCAUCUAUUAUGUAAUGUUGAUGUAAUGAUAUCCACCUUGCAAAAGCGUCUCCAAGAUGCGCUUCUAUUCUUGGUGGGACCUUCGAGUUCCUUUAGGAUAGGGUCGCAUCUUGGGCAGGACACGUAUAUCAUGUUCACCGUCCGCACUUGUAGGGGGAAGCCCUUUUGUCCUCUAUUGUUCGGCGGCCGGGGCUCCUCCUCGUCGUCGCUAUGCAGCCCCUUGUCAUUGUUUUCGGCAUUUAACUUGCGGCCUGCUUGAACACCCAACAAUCCCUAUUGGUGUGGUUGGCUGGUUUUUCGAGGGUGCCGUGUAUCUGGCACGAGCGAUCGAGUAUUCGCUCCAAAUUGGACGGGCCCGGAGUAUUUAUUUUGAAUGGCUUUUUCUGCUGACCGGGUUUAGAGCCUCUGAAUCCGGCAUUGACUGCCGCAUACUCAGCAUUAUCGCCAUUAAUGCGGCACUUGUGCUCGUUGCGACGUGGCCUGCCGUUGCUGUCCUUGGUAUCCGAAUUACCAGGGCUCUUGGUCAUCUUGUUACUAUGAGCUAGCCAGCUGUCCUCUCCCGCACAAAAGCGGGUCAUGAGUGUUGUGAGGGCUGCCAUGGAUUUCGGCUUUUCCUGUCCUAGGUGCCGGGCAAGCCACUCGUCGCGGAUGUUAUGUUUGAAGGAUGCAAGGGCCUCUGCAUCCGGACAGUCGACGAUUUGAUUUUUCUUGGUUAGGAACCAUGUCCAGAAUUGUCUAGACGAUUCUUCUGGCUGCUAAAUUAUGUGGCUUAGGUCAUCAGCGUCUCGUGGUCGCACAUAAGUGCCCUGGAAAUUGUCGAGGAAUGCGGCUUCCAGGUCUUCCCAACAACCAAUUGACUCUACUGGCAAGCUGUUAAGCCAAUGCCGAGCUGGUCCUUUAAGCUUGAGUGGGAGGUAUUUGAUGGCGUGUAGGUCAUCAACGCGGGCCAUGUGGAUGUGAACAAGAUAGUCCUCGAUCCAGACCGCAGGAUCUGUUGUGCCAUCGUAUGAUUCAAUGUUUACGGGUUUGAAACCCUCAGGGAUUUGAUGAUCCAUCACUUCAUCUGUGAAGCAUAGUGGGUGUGCGGCGCCUCUGUAUUGUGCUAUAUCAUGACGUAGCUCAAAUGAGCUUUGUCUACUGUGUUCGGCCCGGCCGGAAUUGCCAUAUCCGGCGUGACGGUUAUCGUCACAUGUAGUGGGGCGCCCACGCGAUCCGUAGAUCGAUCUUGUUUGCCCUGCCCUGUCCUCCAAUAUAUCUUGCAGGUCUGGCGCACUUCCCCGCGCCUUGGUAUUUUUUGAGCGACGCCGGGGUGCGGCUUGAGUGGAGGGCCGAGAGGCCUCUCUGUCGCGGCCACGAGGUGGUCGGUCGACCGUAUCAUGCGCUGGUGAUGUAGUUUAGGUGCUUCCUCUUUUAAUCGGGGUAGCAGCCUGCGUUUUGGGUAGCUCUUGGAGGGGCACUCGAGUUCAUACUCUUCGGCCACCAGGACUUCAGUCCAUCUGUCGGCUAGCAAAUCUUGGUCAGCUCUAAGCUGUUGCUGUUUUUUCUUGAGGCUGCUUGCCAUGGCCAUAAGCCUGCGUUUGAAACGCUCAUGUUCGACGCGAUCCUCAGGCAUGACAAAUUCGUCAUCAUCGAGGCUUGCCUCGUCUUCGGAGGGAGGCAUGUAUUAUCGUCCUCUACCUCUCUGUCUGCCGCUCUCUUAUGAGGGCUGGCUUCUCCAUCCUCCUACGCUGAAUCCUGCUGGAGGGGGUUGUCUUUGGCACUGUCCGGGGUGUUAUUGUCUCCCGUGCCGGAAUCACCAUUUUUGCUGUGGCGGGAUUUAGAGCGGCGCCGCUAACGCUGGCGCUUAGGCUGUUUCUUGGAGGGGUCAUCCUCCGUUGUUCCAUCGCCAUUCCCAUCUUUUGGGAUGUCCACCAUGUAUAUGUCGUAUGAUGAGGUGGCCUUCCAGUGCCCUGUAGGCGCUGGUUCUUGGUCGUCUCCUGCAUCGUCAUCCAUACUGUCGAUGUCUUCGGAGUCGAAGCCGGGCAUGUUGGUUAAAUCAUCGACAGUGGCUACGAAGUGGGUGGUGGGUGGGCUUUGAAUUUCUUUGUCGUCCGCAUCCCAACCUUCCUGACCAUAAUCCGGCCAGGGCUCUCCUGAUAAAGAGAGAGACUUUAGCGAAUUCAGGAUGUCACCAAAGGGCGAGUGCUGAAAGAUGUCUGCGGUAGUGAACUCCAUGAUCGGUGCCCAAUCGGAUUCGAUUGGCAGGGGCGCGGAAGGUUCGGAGUCCGGAGAGGAGUCCGGCACCUUGGAGUCACGAGCUUCGCAAAGGACAGGGUUGGUAUUCGGCUCAAUCGCCAUAGAGAUAGCAGCCCCCGAGGCGGUGUCCAGCCACCCAUCCUCGAUCGGCACAGUCGGCUCCAAGCUAAGGGUCGGAGCGGACACUGGUGCGGCCUCCAAAGCACUGUCCGGCGGCAGAGCUAGAUCAUGCCCAUCGUGACAGUGCGGCGCGCUUGGCUGUGGCUCGAACCCGUCAAAGAUCAAGUCUCCGCGGAUGUCAGCUGUAUAGUUCAAACUUCCAAAUCUGACCUAAUGGCCAGGGGUGUAGCUUUCACUCUGCUCCAGAUGGCCAAGUGAAUUGGCCCGCAGUGCAAAGCUGCCGAAUACGAAGAUCUGUCCGGGGAGAAAAGUCUCACCCCGGACCGCAUCGUUGUUGAUGAUCGAAGGAGCCAUCGGGCCUAAAGAUGACGACAUAGAGGAACUCUCAAUGAAAGCACCAAUGUCGGUGUCAAAACCGGCGGAUCUCGGGUAGGGGGUCCCGAACUGUGCGUCUAGGCGGAUGGUAACAGGAGACAAGGGACACGAUGUUUUUACCCAGGUUCGGGUCCUCUCGAUGGAGGUAAAACCCUACUCCUGCUUGAUUAAUAUUGAUGAUAUUGGUAGUACAAGAGUAGAUCUACCACGAGAUCAGAGAGGCUAAACCCUAGAAGCUAGCCUAUGGUAUGAUUGUUGUUCGUCCUAUGGACUAAAACCCUCCGGUUUAUAUAGGCACCGAAGAGGGUUAGGGUUACACAGAGUCGGUUACAAUGGUAGGAGAUCUACAUAUCCGUAUCGCCAAGCUUGCCUUCCACGCCAAGGAAAGUCCCAUCCGGACACGGGACGAAGUCUUCAAUCUUGUAUCUUCAUAGUCCAGGAGUCCGGCCAAAGGCUAUAGUCCGGCCAUCCAGACACCCCCUAAUCCAGGACUCCCUCACCCAUCAAUAGAUAUCAAUGCGAGUGAGUAGGGAUUGCCAUGCAACAAAUGCACUAGAGCUAUAAGUGUAUGAAAGCUCAAAAAGAAAAUAAGUGGGUGUGCAUCCAACUUGCUUGCUAACGAAGACCUAGGGCAACUUUAGGAAGCCCAUCAUUGGAAUAUACAAGCCAAGUUCUAUAAUGAAAAGUUCCCACUAGUAUAUGAAAGUGACAACAUAGGAGACUCUCUAUCAUCAAGAUCAUGGUGCUACUUUGAAGCACAAGUGUGGUAAAAGGAUAGUAGCAUUGCCCCUUCUCUCUUUUUCUCUCAUUUUUUUCUUCUUUUUUUGGGGCCUCCUCUUUUUUUGGCCUCUUUUUUAUUUUUUCUUUAUUUUUCAUCCGGAGUCUCAUCCCGACUUGUGGGGGAAUCAUAUUCUCCAUCAUCCUUUCCUCACUAGGACAAUGCUCUAAUAAUGAAGAUCAUCACACUUUUAUUUACUUACAACUCGAUACUUAGAACAAAAUAUGACUCUAUAUGAAUGCCUCUGGCGAUGUACCGGGAUGUGCAAUGAAUCAAGAGUGACAUGUAUGAAAGAAUUGUAACAUCCCAAUUUUCAAUUUGGAUGUUAUACAUAGCUCAUCAUAUGCAUAUCAUAUUUGUUCUUGUAUUUGUUGUGAUCCUAGAAAUCUUAAGCAACUCAAGGACCCAAGGAGCGAGUUGGAGGUUUCACAAAAAUCAUAUUUGAAUUUAUUUCAAAUUUGAAGAAAGGAUCAAUUUGAUUUUAUUAUUUUUCUCUCCAAUUAUUUCCAAAAAUAAAAGUAUAUGAGAGAAGAUAAUAUGACUUCUUCAACCUGAGAGAAAUAUUGGAGAAAGAAUUUUAAAAUCAAAUUAUGAUUCUAUUGGUAUUUUAUUUGCUAUUUUAUUUGAAUUAGAAAAAUAUUGCAUUUUGGAAAUUGCAUCUUAGUCCAGAAAAAUGUUCACCUUGUCCUAAAUAUUAGGUUUGGACGGUGAAAAUUGUUUUUGGAAUUUUUAGAAUUUUUUUAUAUUUUAUUUAGGAUUUUUCUUUCGGGCGAAAUUAAUUUAAAUAAAAAAAGUUCUUUCUGCCUGACUGGGCCGAAGGCCCAGCCAAGCCAGCCCAGCAGUGCCGCGCCGCCGCCUUCCCCCGCGCGGGAGUCCGCCUCGCCGCCGCCAGCCAAGUCUGAGGCGGGCACGCCUCCCGAGGCCGGCCCCUUCCCCAAGACGAGGCCGAGCCCCCCCCCUUAAAUAGUGCGUCGCUCCGCCGCCUCUCCUCCACCGCAUCGCCGCUGCCUCCCACCAGCAGCGGCACGCCCGCGCCACCGCCGCCGCACGCCCGCGCCGCCGUCGCCUAGUGUCGCCCCGCCGCCUCGCCGCCGAUGCCUCGUCGCCCGACACCAUCGUCCGAUCUCGCCGUCGCCGCCGGUUUUCUCGUGAACCGGUAAGACCGAUCGGAACCCCGGUUUUUUCGGUUUUUCGGUUCGGUUUAGUUCGGUUUUAUUUGUUAACGAACGUCCGUUCGUUCGUUCGCUUUAACGAAGGUUUUCAUCGAAUAAGCUCUGUUAGCGAACGUUCGCGCCAUAGGAUUUUUCUUUUUAGUUUAUUUUCGGCCAGGGACCUAUCUGCGAAUAGUUUUAUCAUGAUUUAGCCCCUGAUCUUUAAACUAACAUAACUUUUUACUCGUUUAUCCAAAUUAGAUGAAACCAGCGCCUAAAUAUUCGUAUCGUUCUGUUCUUUCCAGUUCACCAACUUGGACAUGAUUUUGGUACUGUAAAAUUUGAGUUUAGACCAGAUUAGUAACGAUCUUGUUUUGUUCGUAUUUUGAGUUUCGUUGCUCCGUUUGAGUUGAAUCUUUUUGCAAAUCGUAGCUAAUCAUAUGUACCUACUGUUAAGAUCUAAUUCACAUGAUAAUAUUGAUGUUAGGAAUUUUGUUAGUUUAAGCUGUUUGCUUGUUUCGUGUUUGAUUUGGAUCUUUUCUCGGUUUUCCCAUUGUUUUGUUUGAGUGAUUGCUUAUGUAUGCUACUGUUUGUUUACGCUAGAUUACCCAAAGUGCGAAGCUUGUUACUACGAAUCUCUAGAGUUUAUAGAUCGUCAGCAAGGCAAGUUACACUUUGAUCAUACUCCUUUAUACCCAGUUUUUACUAUGCAUUAGUUUUGCCCCUCAAAUAUUUGCAUGAGUAGGAUUGGGAACAUGUGGUCUUGGUUGUAGUGCUUGAGGUAGGAACCUAAUCCUUUGGAUCACCCCGGGAAUAUACGUAUGCUUAUUUAUUGCUUAGCCAUGCUCGUAGACGAGGAUUGGAUCGUGAUUCACACAUGGAAGUUUGAGAGUUAUUUAAUCAUGGAUAACAUUAAGGUGGUAACUUUAAUAUACAUCUGGGUGGAUUGGUUGAGACACCUGGGGAACCCAGUGUUGUCUGUUUUGGGAAAUCUUGGAGUACCCGUGUGAUUUUUCCUAUGGAAUGCCACCCAGGCUCAAAGGGAUCAUAAGAUUAUUCAUGCUAGAAACUUCCAUGUGCAGCCACAAGCCAUUAUGGGCUCUGGUAUAGUUGAUUAAGUUGCGUGAGCUCUUGAAGAGGUGGACUAUCGGAUGUAGGGGAAAGUAGGUGUACCGAUCCGCCCGAAGUAGAGAGUUAAUGCUUCAGAAAGACCAUGCCUCGAUCAUCCGAUCAUGGAUGCGGUCGAGUCUUGUGGGAAAAAGUGCGCAACCUCUGCAGAGUGUAUAAACUAAUCAUGGUUAGCCUUGUCCCCGGUUAUGGACAUCUUGAGUAUCUAGUACUUGAAUCUAUUGAUGUGAUCUCAUCACGUUACUUUAAUUAAUUUGAUUUGGGUUAAUGAUGAUACUUUUAAUUGGGAUUUGAGUUGGGGUUACCUUCUCAAAUAUUGGGCAACUUGGGAGUAGUUAAAUAAAUUUAUUCCUUUGUUGUAGGGAAAAACUAGCUUUAUGCAAAAAUCAUAAACUUCAGCCUCCACCAGCCAAAUAUUGCAUGUAGAUAUAUUUCUUGCAUUUCAUUGCUUUACAGUGUAACUCUGCCAGCAUAUUCAAUGUGCUGACCUACAUGGCUGCAACGUCUCAUGUUGCAGACUACUCAGACGAUGAAUAAGGUGCGAUAGGUCGUUGUUUUGCACUCAGCUAUGUCGUUGGAGUUGAUGGACUCAUUUACCUUCGAAGCUUCCGCAGUUAUUCAGUCUAGAUGGCCUUCAGCCAUGAUAUUUUUGUGUAAUCAUACUCUUUAUGAGGACUUGAUGUAAUAAGUGAGUGAUUGAAACUCUAUUAUAAUUCCUCGAGUACUAUGCAUGUCAGCAUUACUGAUCCAGGGAUGACACUGAUGCACAGAGACUUGACCGUUUGAGGUCUGAUCACUACAAGAAUUAUGAACGGUGGCUUUCCCACAAAUACAAUGUCAACUAGAUGAUCAUGCAAAGAAAUAUGACAAUGAUGAAGUGUGUCAUAAUAAAUAAUGGUGGAAAGUUGCAUGGCAAUAUAUCUUGGAAUGGUUAUGGAAAUGCCAUAAUAGGUAGGUAUGGUGGUUGUUUUGUGGAAGGUAUAUGGUGGGUGUAUGGUACCGGCGAAAGUUGCGCGGUACUAGAGAGGCUAGCAAUGAUGGAAGGGUGAGAGUGCGUAUAAUCCAUGGACUCAACAUUAGUCAUAAAGAACUCACAAACUUAUUGCAAAAAUCUAUUGGUUAUUGAAAUGAAGUACUAGCACAUGCUCCUAGGGGGAUAGAUUGGUAGGAAAAGACCAUCGCUCGUCCCCGACCGCCACUCAUAAGGAAGAUAAUCAAUAAAUAAAUCAUGCUCCGACUUCAUCACAUAACGGUUCACCAUACGUGCAUGCUACGGGAAUCACAAACUUUAACACAAGUAUUUCUACAAUCCACAGUUACUCACUAGCAUCAUUGUAAUAUCACCAUCCUCAUAUCUCAAAACAAUCAUAAGGUAUCAAACUUCUCAUAGUAUUCAAUGCACUUUAUAUGAAAGUUUUUAUUAUAUUCCUCUUGGAUGUCGAUUAUAUUAGGACUAAAUUCAUAACCAAAGCAAAUUACUGUGUUGUUUAAGACUCUCAAUAUAAUAUGUGAAGCAUGGGAGUUCAUCAAUUCCUUCAAAAUAAAACCACCGCCGUGCUUUAAAAGGAUAUAAGUGAAGCAUUAGAGCAAAUGAUAAACUACUCCAAAAGAUAUAAGUGAAGAUCAAUGAGUAGUUGAAUAAUUAUGUCACUAUGUGAAGACUCUCAAGAAUAUCAGAUCUUAAUAUUUUAUUCAAACAACAAGCAAAUCAAAAUAAAAUAAAAUGACAUUGCAAGGAUAGCACAUAUCAUGUGAAGAAACAAAAACUUAGGCUCAACCAAAACUGACUGAUAGUUGUUGAAGAAGAAAGGUGGGAUGCCAACUGGGGCAUCCCCAAGCUUAGAUGCUUGAUACUUAUUGAAAUAUUAAUUAGGGAUGCCUUGAGCAUCCCCAAGCUUGAGCUUUUGUGUCUCCUUAAUUCCUUUUACAUCACGGUGUCCCAAAAUCUUAAAAACUUCAUCCACACAAAACUCAACAAGAACUCAUGAGGUAAGUUAGUAUAAAUCAAUGUAAUAACCUAAUCAUUCUCUACUAUAGCAAAUCACUAAAACUAUUAUUUGAUAUUGCCUACUAAAUGCCUCUGCAUAUUUAACACUCCUAUCCUCAAAUAGAAUCAUUAAAUAAUCAAACCUAUGCAAACAAUGCAAACAUAAUAGCAAUCUAUCUAAACAGGACAGUCUGUAAAGAAUGCAAGAGGCAUCAUGCUUCCCUAACUCCAAAAAUUCUGAAAAAUUACCACACUAUACAAAUUUGUUGUUACUCAUUGUGUAAAAAAAAUUAAGAUUUUAUCCCAUUCUGACUAUUCACAAAUAUUCAGACAAUGAUAGAAAACUUUCUGCUUUCAAAACAGCAACUUGUAGACUUGUAAAAUAAGCAUGGUAAAGGCUAUACUUGAUUUUUUAUUGAACUAAUAGAUAGAAAACAUGUCUAUGAAUAACAGCAAGAAAAUACUAAUAAAAUAAACUGACGCUCCGAGCAAAACACAUAUCAUGUGGUGAAUAAAAAUAUAGCUCCAAGUAAGGUUACCGAUGAACGAAGACGAAAGAGGGGAUGCCAUCUGGGGCAUCCCCAAGCUUAGUUGCUUGGAUAUUCCGAAUAUUACCUUGGGUGCCUUGGGCAUCCCCAAGCUUAGGCUCUUGCCUCUCCCUAUUCCAUAUUCCAUCUAAACUUUACCCAAAACAUGAAAACUUCCCAACACAAAACUCCACAGAAAAUCUUAUGAGCUCCGUUAGUAUAAGAAAGCAAAUCACCACUUAGGUACUGUUGUGAACUCAUUCCAAUUUUAUAUUGGUGUUAUAUCUACUGUAUUCCAACUUUUAUAUGGUCCAUACCCUCCGAUACUACUCAUGGAUUCAUCAAAAUAAGCAAACAACACAAUGAAAAUAGAAUCUUUCAAAAACAGAACAGUCUGUAGUAAUCUGGAAACUUUUCAUACCUGUGUAACUCCAAAAAUUAUGAAAAAUUAGGACAAUCUAGGAAAUAUGUAUAUCAAUCUUGUGUAAACAAUUCAGAACAAAAUCACGUCCCAGUUAAUUUGCAAAAUUCUGGACUAAGAGCAAAAGUUAAUGUUUUUGCAUAUAAUCAAGUUAACUAUCACCAUAGACCAUCCCUAAGGCUUUACUUGGCACUUUAUUGAAACAAAAGCUAUAAAACAUGAUUAAUAUAGUAGCUUAAUCAUGUGGACACACAAAAACAGUAGGGGUAAAUGUUGGAUUGUCUCCCAACAAGAUCUUUUCUUUAAUGCCUUUUUUAGCCAGGCAUGAUGAUGUCAAUGAUGCUCACAUAAAAGAUAAAAAUUGAAACAUAAUGGGAGCAUCAUGAAGCAUAUGACUAACACAUCUAAGUCUAACCCAUUUCCUAUGCAUAGGGAUUUUGUGAGCAAACAAUUUAUAGAAACAAGAAACAACUAGCAUAGCAAAAUAAAACAAGCAUAACUUCAAAACUUUCAACACAUAGAGAGGAAACUUGAUAUUAUUGCAACUCCUACCAGCAUAUAUUCCUCCCUAAUAAUAAUUUUCAGUAGAAUCAUGAAUGAGUUCAACAAUAUAACUAUCACAUAAAGCAUUCUUUUCAUGAUCCACAAGCAUAGAAAUUUUAUUACUCUCCACAUAAGCAUAUUUCUUCUCAUGAAUAGUAGUGAGAGCAAACUCAACAAAAUAACUAUCAUGUGAGGCAUAAUCCAAUUGAAAAUUAAAAUCAAGAUGACAAGUUUCAUGGUUAUCAUAAUUAUUUAUAGCAUACAUGUCAUCACAAUAAUCAUCAUAGAUAGCAACUUUAUUCUCAUAAUCAAUUGGAACCUCUUCUGAAAUAGUAGAUUCAUCAAUAAAUAAAGUCGUGACCUCUCCAAAUCCACUUUCAUAAUUAUCUCUACUCCUAUAAAAAUGUGAGUUGGUGGUGAUGGCGUGCCUGCUUUUGUGGCAUAUGUGCCGCCUGAUCUGAAACGGACGGCUGAGAGUGAGAUAAGUUCUGCUUGAGCCACUUGUACAACAUUUUGCAGAAGCACCCCGCACGUCAGACGGACUACUUGUUUCUAUUUCUCUCAGGAAAGAAACAGAAGUUUCGAGUACCCCUUCUAAAGAUCAAGGUCGCUACACACGGUGGAAAUCUCUCGGUCUCUCUCCCAACGCGAGAGGCGGUUUCCAGGCGGGCUGCCUCCACUGGUCUCCAUCGCCUCCGGUAAGCCGUCGGGCUCUCGGAGGUGUGCGGGACAGUGUACGACCGCGAGGCGGUUGUAGAUAAUGUUGUUUUAGAAUUUUAUUCUGGCACUGGCGGGCAGGUAGGGGCGACGUCAACGCUGUGGGAUAAGGUUCCCCCUGGCUCCUUUCCCGUCUCCGCGGUGAUCCCUCCGGCCGGUGGCACUGCGGGGUUAGGGAGGUUGGCCUCUCUCUUAUCCGGCGAGGUUUGGUCGGUGAUGGGGGUGCACAAUAGUAUAGAAGUUGGGAUUUGUGGAGAGGGAUUCCCAGAUCAGGUCGCCUCGGACGGCCGACAGCUGCGCACUGUUGCGGGCGAAGUGGUUUGAGUUGCGGCUCCACUCCGUCAUAGGCUGCCGCUGGUCAAGGGAUCACUUGGUCUACCCCAGGCCGAUGCACCAGAACCCUCCCUGGUUCCGUCUUUUGGGGAGGGACUUAUAUGCGGCUCACAAAGCCAUGGAUUGGCGAUGCUGCUCCUCAUGCCCGUUGUCUUGUGGAUGACGGCUAGCACCGGCGAGUGCAGAGAUCAGCGUGCCUGGGUGAAUAAGGAAGAUGAACUGGGCUGUAAGUUACUUUGUUUUCUCUGUCGGCGUUAUUCCCUUUAGUGUUAUCUCUGCCUCUCUAGUUCUCAACCUCCAACGACAUGCCCUUUUUUGUGCUGGCCAUGGAGGCUAGCAGCGGCAGGACUGCCAUGACUAGGCCGCGCAAUAUUUCUAACAGUGUUGAGCUACUCGUUCCCGACAGCUCCGGUGCCAAGCUGCCAAGCAGGUAUGUGUGUGAUGGAUCUUUUAAUUUUAAGUUUGCUUCCUGUUCGAUUAGGUGCAUAUUUCGCAAGAUAAUGUUGUUCUAUCAUGUCUCUGAUUUUGAUUUCGAUUUUGAUUUUUCCUGCAGAUUUCAGGAUAUAGAAGGCAGCUUCAGGAAGGGGUCGCUGACGAGGUGAGACCAUUGCGUCUAUUCUUGUGUUAGUUUGUUUCAAAGAAAUCACACUAAUUUCUCUCAGUAUACUCUGCAGAGAAAUAAGUACUGAAGCAGGCUUCACCGAAGACUACUGAUCUAGAAUUGUUUGUUGCUGAAAUAAGUCCAGGAGCGGUGGAGCAGGCUGAACAAUUUUCUGUUGAUUUUACUGAAUGGAUUGUCCCUGUAAUUUGACCAAACGUCAUGUCGCCGUGCCACUGAAGUUUUUGCACAGAAUUCUUGUCUUUUUGGGUGGUGCCAAGCUGUCUUUUUGUUGAACAAUGCCACAAUUGCAUAGUUGUAAGUUAUUUAGGAUUGUCUCUAUUGCAUACGACCUGGAGUUACAAGAGGUCCAGUACUAAUUUUGUGUAUGUAUGUACAUGUGCAGUCACCCAUUUUCUAUACACAAGAUUCCAAAGCAUCUUUUACUGUACAUUUUGUUUCUUUUCUCGGUACAAAAUGUAUUGCAAGUGUUGUUCAUUUUUUCCCUUCUCUAAAUAUACUAGAGACCCUCUAAGGGCUCAGUUUUCUUCCCGUUUGUCUGAAUAUACCCAGAUUUAUUUUGUGUGUGCGUAUUUAACAAAGCAUUUAGUUA